UUAUGGCUCAGAAUGAACGCUAGCGACAGGCCUAACACAUGCAAGUCGAGGGGUAGAAAGAGCUUGCUUUUUUGAGACCGGCGCACGGGUGAGUAACGCGUAUGCAACCUACCUUAUACUGGGGGAUAGCCCAAAGAAAUUUGGAUUAAUACCGCAUAAUAUAUUUGAAUCGCAUGGUUUGAAUAUUAAAACUCCGGUGGUAUAAGAUGGGCAUGCGUAGCAUUAGUUUGUUGGUGAGGUAACGGCUCACCAAGACUAUGAUGCUUAGGGGGUCUGAGAGGAUAGUCCCCCACACUGGUACUGAGACACGGACCAGACUCCUACGGGAGGCAGCAGUGAGGAAUAUUGGUCAAUGGACGCAAGUCUGAACCAGCCAUGUCGCGUGCAGGAUGACGGCCCUAUGGGUUGUAAACUGCUUUUUUACAGGAAUAAUUGCAGGUACGUGUACCUGUUUGAAUGUACUGUAUGAAUAAGGAUCGGCUAACUCCGUGCCAGCAGCCGCGGUAAUACGGAGGAUUCGAGCGUUAUCCGGAUUUAUUGGGUUUAAAGGGUCCGUAGGCGGCUUUUUAAGUCAGUGGUGAAAUCCCAGAGCUCAACUCUGGAACUGCCAUUGAAACUGAAGAGCUUGAAUAUGGUUGAGGUAGGCGGAAUACGUUAUGUAGCGGUGAAAUGCAUAGAUAUAACGUAGAACACCAAUUGCGAAGGCAGCUUACUAAACCAUUAUUGACGCUGAUGGACGAAAGCGUGGGGAGCGAACAGGAUUAGAUAC
rnacentral:rRNA from 1 species